AUUGGCUAUGGAGACAUGACUCCACAUACGUUCCUUGGUCGGCUGGUCGGAUCACUGUGUGCUCUGGCUGGUGUAUUGACAAUCGCUUUGCCAGUACCAGUCAUCGUCUCCAAC
rfam:Bursaphelenchus xylophilus, Ka4C1 (inbred line), WGS project CADV01000000 data, contig: scaffold01143